GAGUUUGAUCUUGGCUCAGAUUGAACGCUGGCGGCAGGCCUAACACAUGCAAGUCGAGCGGUAGAGAGAAGCUUGCUUCUCUUGAGAGCGGCGGACGGGUGAGUAAUGCCUAGGAAUCUGCCUGGUAGUGGGGGAUAACGCUCGGAAACGGACGCUAAUACCGCAUACGUCCUACGGGAGAAAGCAGGGGACCUUCGGGCCUUGCGCUAUCAGAUGAGCCUAGGUCGGAUUAGCUAGUUGGUGAGGUAAUGGCUCACCAAGGCGACGAUCCGUAACUGGUCUGAGAGGAUGAUCAGUCACACUGGAACUGAGACACGGUCCAGACUCCUACGGAGGC
rnacentral:rRNA from 1 species